rnacentral:rRNA from 1 species
AUAAUGGGUCAGCGACUUAUAUUCUGUAGCAAGGUUAACCGUAUAGGGGAGCCGAAGGGAAACCGAGUCUUAACUGGGCGUUAAGUUGCAGGGUAUAGACCCGAAACCCGGUGAUCUAGCCAUGGGCAGGUUGAAGGUUGGGUAACACUAACUGGAGGACCGAACCGACUAAUGUUGAAAAAUUAGCGGAUGACUUGUGGCUGGGGGUGAAAGGCCAAUCAAACCGGGAGAUAGCUGGUUCUCCCCGAAAGCUAUUUAGGUAGCGCCUCGUGAACUCAUCUUCGGGGGUAGAGCACUGUUUCGGCUAGGGGGUCAUCCCGACUUACCAACCCGAUGCAAACUGCGAAUACCGAAGAAUGUUAUCACGGGAGACACACGGCGGGUGCUAACGUCCGUCGUGAAGAGGGAAACAACCCAGACCGCCAGCUAAGGUCCCAAAGUCAUGGUUAAGUGGGAAACGAUGUGGGAAGGCCCAGACAGCCAGGAUGUUGGCUUAGAAGCAGCCAUCAUUUAAAGAAAGCGUAAUAGCUCACUGGUCGAGUCGGCCUGCGCGGAAGAUGUAACGGGGCUAAACCAUGCACCGAAGCUGCGGCAGCGACGCUGAUGCGUUGUUGGGUAGGGGAGCGUUCUGUAAGCCUGUGAAGGUGGCCUGUGAGGGUUGCUGGAGGUAUCAGAAGUGCGAAUGCUGACAUAAGUAACGAUAAAGCGGGUGAAAAGCCCGCUCGCCGGAAGACCAAGGGUUCCUGUCCAACGUUAAUCGGGGCAGGGUGAGUCGACCCCUAAGGCGAGGCCGAAAGGCGUAGUCGAUGGGAAACGGGUUAAUAUUCCCGUACUUGGUGUUACUGCGAAGGGGGGACGGAGAAGGCUAUGUUGGCCGGGCGACGGUUGUCCCGGUUUAAGCGUGUAGGCUGGUUUUCCAGGCAAAUCCGGAAAAUCAAGGCUGAGGCGUGAUGACGAGGCA